rnacentral:lncRNA from 1 species
AGCUGCCCCACGUCGCAGCCGCCUCCGUGUGGGGCCAAGAUGGCGGCCAGGCACUGAGCGUGGCCGAAAGGCAGUGAUGGAAUUCACUCGCCCCCCUGGAGCCCCCCCAAGAUGGAGGGGAGGAGCAGGAGCCCCCCCUCGAGAUGGUCCUACAUGAAGAGCUCAGUGACCCCCCAGCUGCCAUUGCGGACCCCAAAGAUGUCGCUGCUGCCAUUGGGAAAGCACGGAGUGCAGUGGGGGGGUGGGCCGCGCUCCCGGGGCGGCUCCGUGCUCGGGUGCUGAGGGGCGGAGCUUCGGAGCUGGGGGCGGAGCCAACAGCAGGAUGGGGGCGGAGCUACGGCGGUGGGCGGGGCGUGUGGAGAUGGGGGCAGGAGCCGUCAAGGUGGCGGGGACCAAUGGGAGAGGGGGAGGGAGUGGGGCGGGGGGGGCGGGGCUGGUGUGUGAUUGGAUGUGGGGGGGGGGGGAAGGGCGGGCUAAGGGGGUGGGGGCGGGGCUAAGGGAGUGGGUGGAGCCAAUGAAUGAAUGGGGGCGGGGCUUAUGGGAAGGGGUGUGGCCAGUGAA